CUCUGCCGCCACCGGGAGUGCUCUGGCAGGAAGGUGGCAGCUGGCCUGGAUUAUCUACCUACUGGUGAUGCCUGGGCCUGUGGCCCUGUGCUUGUGGCCACGUACCCAGCUGCGCACUGUUGAGUCUGACACCCACCACAGGACAGUCAGCCACGAGGGAGGCAGAAGUGGCCCUGUCCUCAUGAGACAUAUCCCCACACGAUGAGGACGCCGAGGCCCAGAGAGGGGAAGUGACUUGCUUACGAGCACACAGCAGGGAGAGGUGGAGGAGGGUCUUCAAUCCUAGACUACACCUGGUGUUUGUGCCAAGACCCCAGGCUGCUUCCCAGGUCCUCUGGGACAGCACUGCCUUCAACCAGCCAGGACCAUGGGCAGCAACAAGAGCAAGCCCAAGGACGCCGGCCCGCGGCGGCGCAGCCUGGAGCCGCCCGAGAGCGCGCACGGCCCGG